AGUGAACGCUGGCGGCAGGCCUAACACAUGCAAGUCGAACGGCAGCACAGUAAGAGCUUGCUCUUACGGGUGGCGAGUGGCGGACGGGUGAGGAAUACAUCGGAUUCUACUUUUUCGUGGGGGAUAACGUAGGGAAACUUACGCUAACACCGCAUACGACCUACGGGUGAAAGCAGGGGAUCUUCGGACCUUGCGCGAUUGAAUGAGCCGAUGUCGGAUUAGCUAGUUGGCGGGGUAAAGGCCCACCAAGGCGACGAUCCGUAGCUGGUCUGAGGGGAUGAUCAGCCACACUGGAACUGAGACACGGUCCAGACUCCUACGGGAGGCAGCAGUGGGGAAUAUUGGGCAAUGGGCGAAAGCCUGAUACAGCAAUACCGCGUGGGUGAAGAAGGCCUUCGGGUUGUAAAGCCCUUUUGUUGGGAGAGAAGAGAAGCAGGUUAAUACCCUGCUAUUCUGACGGUACCCAAAGAAUAAGCACCGGCUAACUUCGUG
rnacentral:rRNA from 1 species